rfam:Gossypium raimondii chromosome 6, whole genome shotgun sequence.
GGGUGUGAUCAUACCAGCAUUAAUGCACCGGAUCCCAUCAGAACUCCGCAGUUAAGCGUGCUUGGGCGAGAGUAGUACUAGGAUGGGUGACCUCUUGGGAAGUCCUCGUGGUGCACCCC